GAAACUUUGUAAGAUGGAGGCUGCUGAGAGUGCCGGUGGACUUCUAGUCACAUGAGGUUGAUCUCAUGGAAGAGAAUGUUGCAAUGGAAUCCAAAGCCAUUUCUGUCCCACCAUCAUUGGUUGGGAUGUGCUUUUUGGUUAGAUAGCGGCUUUUUAUGUGUUUAUGGUCCCAACACAGUAAAGUAGAAGAGAGUUUCAAUGUCAAGAUUACUAUGAUGGUCAUUUUUUUUAACUCAAACAUCAUUUAUUCAGCCUUGAGCGGGAUUCUCUUCCUAAUAUAUAGAUAUACUGUGAAGUGCAUUGACCAUCAUUACUAGUGUACAUCUAAUGUAAAUUAGGUGUAUUUGUCAAGUUUAUAAGUACCUAUCAUUUAUUCAACCUUGAGAAUUAUUCUCUUCAUA